GAUGAACGCUAGCGACAGGCUUAACACAUGCAAGUCGAGGGGCAGCAUAAAAGUAGCAAUACUUUGGUGGCGACCGGCGCACGGGUGAGUAACGCGUAUGCAACCUACCUAUCAGAGGGGAAUAACCCGGCGAAAGUCGGACUAAUACCGCAUAAAACAGGGGCACCGCAUGGUGAUAUUUGUUAAAGAGAUUCGAUGAUAGAUGGGCAUGCGUUCCAUUAGGUAGUGGGUGAUGUAACGGCUCACCAAGACGACGAUGGAUAGGGGAACUGAGAGGUUGGUCCCCCACACUGGUACUGAGACACGGACCAGACUCCUACGGGAGGCAGCAGUGAGGAAUAUUGGUCAAUGGGCGAGAGCCUGAACCAGCCAAGUCGCGUGAAGGAAGAAGGAUCUAUGGUUCGUAAACUUCUUUUGCAGGGGAAUAAAGUGCAGGACGUGUCCUGUUUUGUAUGUACCCUGAGAAUAAGGAUCGGCUAACUCCGUGCCAGCAGCCGCAGUAAGAC
rnacentral:rRNA from 1 species